UAGAUGCUUUGAUGCCAACUUGCUAGAGAUUCCAGUUGAAAUCGAGAGCCCCGAUCACCACUAUUAUCAUCUUGCUUUUUUCACUAAAAGGAAAGUAGAUGCUUUGGAAGAGCUGACUUGGGAUUAUGCAAUUGACUUUGCUGAUGAAAAUCAUCCCAUUAAAGCAUUUCAAUGUUGCUGUGGAAGUGAAUUCUGCCGAGACAUGAAUGGGAAAGGAAUUAAAGCUUCUGACUCAGAGAACUCAGCUAAAGCUUCUGCCAUAAACAACUCCAUCAAGGGUGUUGUGAAAUCUCGAUGAAACUCUGCUGGGGUAGCAAAACUAACCACAAACACAUGUCACAGGGCUUGGAAUUGAAUACAAACACGAUAUUCGACAUUCGGAGCACAAAAUAUUUGCAGUUUCCCAUGAACAUCAGGGCCGAUCUUUCUAGAAAAAGGAAGUACAGAACAAAAAUAAGGGGAUUCUGAAGUUGCAGGAUGACUGUUUUCACUAUAUGCUACACUGGUACUGUUGACAUUCUGAAGUUGGCCAACAAUUUUAAAGACCCGAGUUUUAGAAAGGAAACAAAAUUCCUUAGUAGAACCUUUACUCA